GAACAUAAGCCCGAUGAGGACGCAGAGCACCAGGCAGAAGCCGAUGUCCGCAUGGUUGUGGAUGACGAACUCCUGGCUGAAGAGCGGGUCCACAGUUAUUUCACUUCUAAAUAAAUAUGGUUUUUUAAAAGUGGCACGCGGUGGAAUGUAAUUGAGACAGGAUGGAGUUCCUAGAGAAAUUUUACUUCCUCAAUCUGCACUCCACCUUACUUAAAAUACAGUCUUGGGUCUGUAAUUCCCUUAUCUGACUCUCAAGGAAAUGACAAAGUAAUGCCUAGAUUGGACUAAACCUCAUUUAACUUCAAGGCUGACCUUUCUCAAAGUUGAACCUUCGUCUUGUGAGGAACAGAAAGAUCAAGAACUCUGAAGCACCUCGACUUUCCACCUGUGAAGAUGUGUUCAAAUUUGCAACGUGCGGCCACACCUAUGAGGUUGAACUUUAUACAAUUGGUUUCUUUAUAGGUUUAGAUGGUUGAAUUUAAGUUACCCCCACUGCUAUUAUUAUUAUUUUGAGACAGAGUCUUAACUCUGUUGCCCAGGCAGGAGUGCAGUGGCGAGAUCUGGACUCACUGCAACCUCUGCCUCCUGGCUUCAAGCAAUUCUCAUGCUUCAGCCUGUAGCUGGAACUACAGGUCACUCCCUCUGGAGGAAACCAGCUGCCACUUUGUGAGGAUACUCAUAGUCCUGUGGAGGCAUAUCCUCCAUAUGGCUGAGACCUCCUGCGAACAACCAUCACUGACUUGCCAGACAUGAGUGUGCCACCUUGGAAGCAGAUUUUCCAGCCCCAGUUAAGCCUUCAGAUGACAUCAGCCCCUGCUAAUCUCUUGACUACAACCUCAUGAGAGACCCUGAGCCAGAACUAGCCAGGCUUACCCCUCAUGGUUACAAAGUGGCUGCAACAGCUCCAGGUGUUCUAUCCUUUAACACAGAAUAACUCAAACAACAAGACCCAAUAUUCAGACAAGAAGGAAAGGGACUUUUGGAGAGUGAAGAAAACUUUCCUAGAAACCUCAAACUUCUCCCCAUGCCUUAUUGGCCAGAUUGUAUCCCAUGCCCAUUUCUAAACCAAUCAUUGGCAAAGUGAGUGGAAUUGACGUGAUUAGAUUAACUUUACCAAGAAUGCAUCCUCAGAGAGGCUGAGAAAAAGUCCAGCCUCCUUUGAAGAGCCUGGCUACCUUUCACCUGAACAAAACAAGAAUUCUGAUGAAAAAUGGAGAAUGUAUGUGGAGCAGGCACCCGGAGUGUCUAUGCCAGGAUUUUUUUUCAGUGCGUUUCACCGGUUAUAUUUUUGUCUCUUUACCUUACAAGAUAUGUGGCACGUUUGCCUAAAACAAGCCUUGCUUUCUGAUUUCUGUGCACUAGGCACUUAAACCUUGCAAAUGUCGCUUACCUAACAGUCACUGUCAAGGAGUACCUGGCUAAAGAAUCUCCAGCUAGACAAAGUAGAAGUGUCUGUGCUCUGGCAGUUGAAUAUAUUGUAUCAGGCUCAACAGCACCUUUCACCAAAGGAUGAGACUUCACAACCAUUAGAUCUUCUUUUAUUUUGUUUUUAUUAAAAAAAAAAAUUUUAACACACCAUUGCUAACUUGAAGCCAUUAGAUCUUCUUACCCCCAAUACCACAAAAGUUUAGUGGAAUCAGGGGUAUACCAAGGCAGGUGGAGUAGGGGAGCUGGGAGUGGUCAGCCCCCAGGGCAGGCAAUGAGGGAUUGUGAAUCUGUGAAGAAUUUUAAAGCAAUGAUACAGCUCUAAAUGCAAUGUACUAUCCUGGACUUAGCCCUGGAAAAGAAAAAAGAUAUUAGUGGAAAAACUGGUAAAAUUCAAAUAAUGUCUGUAGUUUGGUUAAUAGUAUUAUACCAAUGUUAAUUUCUGUGUUUUGAUAAAUGUACCAUGGUUAUGUAAGCUGGAUGAAAGAUAU
rnacentral:lncRNA from 1 species